UACGUAGGUGGCAAGCGUUGUCCGGAAUUACUGGGUGUAAAGGGCGUGUAGGCGGGGAUGCAAGUCAGAUGUGAAAUUCCGGGGCUCAACUCCGGAGCUGCAUCUGAAACUGUAUCUCUUGAGUGUUGGAGAGGAAAGUGGAAUUCCUAGUGUAGCGGUGAAAUGCGUAGAGAUUAGGAGGAACACCAGUGGCGAAGGCGGCUUUCUGGACAAUAACUGACGCUGAGGCGCGAAAGCGUGGGGAGCGAACAGGAUUAGAUA
rnacentral:rRNA from 1 species